rnacentral:rRNA from 1 species
UAUGUGAUCGUCUCUCGCAUAUCAAUAAGCGGAGGAAAAGAAACUAACAAGGAUUCCCCUAGUAACGGCGAGUGAAGCGGGAAGAGCUCAAAUUUGAAAUCUUAAAGGGUUUCCCUUUACGAAUUGUAGUUUAAAGAAGUGUUUUCUGUUGAGGUUUUGGUAAAAGUUCUUUGGAAUAGGACAUCAUAGAGGGUGAGAAUCCCGUAUUUGACCUUUACUUUCAACUUUGUGAUACACUUUCAAAGAGUCGGAUUGUUUGGGAAUGCAGUCCAAAAUGGGUGGUAAAUUUCAUCUAAAGCUAAAUAUUGGCGAGAGACCGAUAGCGAACAAGUACCGUGAGGGAAAGAUGAAAAGAACUUUGAAAAGAGAGUUAAACAGUACGUGAAAUUGUCAAAAGGGAAGCGUUUGACACCAGUGUUGUUUUUCUGAAAAUCAAUUAAAGAACUGUUUAUGCUAAGUUGUUUAGACUUUAUCAGCUAACUGUUUAGUUUUGAGCUUUUCUUUAAUGCACUUUUCAGUUAACAAGUCAACAUCAAUUUCUUUUGCUGUAAAAAAGCUUGAGGAGGGUGGCUUGAGAUUCGUCGUAAGUGUUUAUAGCCUCUCGCCUAUGCAGUCGGAGAGAUUGAGGUCUGCAGCGUAGAUCCUUCGGGGCUAAAUGCAUUUGUGCUAAGUUAUAGCAUUUUAUAGACAACUUGUUGACUAUGAUUUGUCUUGUAGCUUACUCGCUUAUGUUAUUUUACCUACGCUUAGGAUGUUGAAGACUCUACAGAGAUA